rnacentral:rRNA from 1 species
UACUAGAGUAGCACUCGCAUAUCAAUAAGCGGAGGAAAAGAAACUAACAAGGAUUCCCCUAGUAACAGGCGAGUGAAGCGGGAAGAGCUCAAAUUUGAAAUCUUAAAGGGUUUCCCUUUACGAAUUGUAGUUUAAAGAAGUGUUUUCUGUUGAGGUUUUGGUAAAAGUUCUUUGGAAUAGGACAUCAUAGAGGGUGAGAAUCCCGUAUUUGACCUUUACUUUCAACUUUGUGAUACACUUUCAAAGAGUCGGAUUGUUUGGGAAUGCAGUCCAAAAUGGGUGGUAAAUUUCAUCUAAAGCUAAAUAUUGGCGAGAGACCGAUAGCGAACAAGUACCGUGAGGGAAAGAUGAAAAGAACUUUGAAAAGAGAGUUAAACAGUACGUGAAAUUGUCAAAAGGGAAGCGUUUGACACCAGUGUUGUUUUUCUGAAAAUCAAUUAAAGAACUGUUUAUGCUAAGUUGUUUAGACUUUAUCAGCUAACUGUUUAGUUUUGAGCUUUUCUUUAAUGCACUUUUCAGUUAACAAGUCAACAUCAAUUUCUUUUGCUGUAAAAAGCUUGAGGAAGGUGGCUUGAGAUUCGUCUUAAGUGUUUAUAGCCUCUUGCCUAUGCAGUCGGAGAGAUUGAGGUCUGCAGCGUAGAUCCUUCGGGGCUAAAUGCAUUUGUGCUAAGUUAUAGCAUUUUAUAGACAACUUGUUGACUAUGAUUUGUCUUGUAGCUUACUCGCUUAUGUUAUUUUACCUACGCUUAGGAUGUUGAGCGCAUGUCUCUCUCU